GGCAGCAGUGGGGAAUCUUGCGCAAUGGGGGAAACCCUGACGCAGCGACGCCGCGUGGAGGAUGAAGGCCUUCGGGUUGUAAACUCCUUUUCUCAGGGAAAAUGGUGAUGGUACCUGAGGAAUAAGCCACGGCUAACUACGUGCCAGCAGCCGCGGUAAUACGUAGGUGGCAAGCGUUGUCCGGAUUUAUUGGGUUUAAAGGGUGCGUAGGCGGCCCUGUAAGUCAGUGCUGAAAUAUCCCGGCUUAACCGGGAGGGUGGCAUUGAUACUGCAGGGCUUGAGUACAGAUGAGGUAGGCGGAAUUGACGGUGUAGCGGUGAAAUGCAUAGAUAUCGUCAAGAACACCGAUAGCGAAGGCAGCUUACCAAGCUGUAACUGACGCUGAGGCACGAAAGUGUGGGGAUCAAACAGGAUUAGAUACCCUGGUAGUCC
rnacentral:rRNA from 1 species